AGAAGUCCUUCUGUGAAUCACUCUCCCACUUCCACCCCUGAGACUCACUCACGCUCCUAAGACCAGAAUUGAGCCCCACUUUGCUCAGAGUAUUAAUCUUCCCAUCCCUGACAAGAGCCAGGAGAGAGUCUCCCCUGUCCCUAUUUUUUUCCAUCUUUUUCAUUCCAGUUUUAUUGAGAUAUAAUUGACAUACAGCACUGUAUACUUUGGGGGGAUAGGGGAGGUAAUUAGGUUGUAUUUUUUUUUAAUGAAGGCACUGGGGAUUGAACCUCAUGCUUGCUGGGCACAUGCUCUGUCACUGAGCUAUGCACUCCCUGCCCUGUCCCUUUUGCCCACUCACAUCAUGUGCCUUCCACUCUGUCAUCUCCUCCACGAGGUGGGCCUAUGACUAUUUCACUUGACUGGUACUAGUCGAAACACCAUGUCAGGACCCACUCAGAUCAGAAGAGCACACUGCUGACCUCCAGUCAC